CACAAUUUGAACCACUAUGGGCAAAGCUGUGGUACACAUGAAUAAUUGAUAUCUAACCUUAGAUUCUGAGAAAUCAUCUGCCAGAUUUGUGGUCAGUUUACUGUACUCUUCUAUGAAAACAAGUUCGUAAUGGAACCUUUGCAGUGUGGAAGCAACUUAACUGAUCCUGAGUAUCAGUGAGUUGAGUCUGGAUUUGGGAAGAAAAGAGCAAUAAGAAGAAUACAGACUUGUGAACUAAAUGUUUAAAAGUGUGGAAUUGUGGUGACAACCAAAGUUUCAUGAGAGCACAUUACAUUUCCUUCAAGACAUGACAUUUUUAAAAAAGUCUUAAUUCAUAUAAGACUAUAUUUUUUAAUUUUUUAGGAAUCUGGUAUCCAGAUUGAACUAAGAAAAAAGUAAAAUGUUGCCUUAUGGAGAAGGCAUCUGUGCAGUGAGAAACAGAGAUUUCAUCCUGUACAAAACUCUCUCAGGCUGAAAUAUUGAGCAAAAAGUUUUCUAAAAGGCACACAUUUAAUCCUGGCUUAAGGAAAAGACCAUUAAAGACAGAAUAUUA